UGGGGAAUAUUGGACAAUGGGCGAAAGCCUGAUCCAGCCAUGCCGCGUGAGUGAUGAAGGCCUUAGGGUUGUAAAGCUCUUUCAGUAGGGAAGAUAAUGACGGUACCUACAGAAGAAGCCCCGGCUAACUUCGUGCCAGCAGCCGCGGUAAUACGAAGGGGGCUAGCGUUGUUCGGAUUUACUGGGCGUAAAGCGCACGUAGGCGGAUUGGUCAGUUAGGGGUGAAAUCCCAGGGCUCAACUCUGGAACUGCCUUUAAUACUGCCAAUCUAGAGUCCGGAAGAGGUGAGUGGAACUCCUAGUGUAGAGGUGGAAUUCGUAGAUAUUAGGAAGAACACCAGUGGCGAAGGCGGCUCACUGGUCCGGUACUGACGCUGAGGUGCGAAAGCGUGGGGAGCAAACAGG
rnacentral:rRNA from 1 species